rnacentral:misc_RNA from 1 species
UAAAUAAAAUGUGUAGAAGCACACUUUUAUUUGUAGCAACUAAAUAGAAGUAAUAUAGGAUCCAUAAGAAUGUGAUAUACGUUUGUGUAUGAAAUAUAGAUAAAAAAGGGUGUGACCACUCUCCAUUUUGUGAGAGUUAGAGAAUAGUCAUUAUAGGAAAUAUUGGCAAUGCCAAAUUAACCAAAUGAAGGUAACCAAUUAGAAAAAUAAUCAUUAUGCCAUGGAUAAAUCAAAGAAAAGCUUAUGAGUUGUGAGAUACAACUUAAUUAGGGAAAAAAGAAAGAAAGAGAGAAAUGAAAAGCUGAUAUUUGAAUCUCUCUUCCCCUUUUAAGUCUUUCAAUUCUAUGUUUG